CGGGCUGUAGCGCAGUUUGGCAGCGCGCUUGAAUGGGGUUCAAGAGGCCCCCAGUUCGAAUCUGGGCAGCCCGA
rnacentral:tRNA from 1 species